AUUGAACGCUGGCGGAAUGCUUUACACAUGCAAGUCGAACGGUAGAGGGGGCAACCCCUCGAGAGUGGCGAACGGGUGAGUAAUGCGUCGGAACGUGCCUAGUCGUGGGGGAUAACGCAGCGAAAGCUGUGCUAAUACCGCAUACGAUCUAUGGAUGAAAGCGGGGGACCGUAAGGCUUCGCGCGAUUGGAGCGGCCGAUGUCAGAUUAGGUAGUUGGUGGGGUAAAGGCUCACCAAGCCAACGAUCUGUAGCUGGUCUGAGAGGACGACCAGCCACACUGGGACUGAGACACGGCCCAGACUUCUACGGGAGGCAGCAGUGGGGAAUCUUGGACAAUGGGCGCAAGCCUGAUCCAGCAAUGCCGCGUGCAGGAAGAAGGCCUUCGGGUUGUAAACUGCUUUUGUACGGAACGAAACGGUCUGGGUUAAUACCCUGGGCUAAUGACGGUACCGUAAGAAUAAGCACUGGCUAACUACGUGCCAGCCGCCGCCGUAA
rnacentral:rRNA from 1 species